rnacentral:rRNA from 1 species
GUCAGCAGCUAUAUCACCCUGCAACUCACAACUGGCAACCCACUGAAGCUAAACGGGUGUGAGCCUGGUCAGUAUCUGGAUGUGAGACCUCCUGGGAAAAACUAAGGUUGCUGCUGGAA